rnacentral:rRNA from 1 species
GAUGAACGCUGGCGGCGUGCCUAAUACAUGCAAGUCGAGCGAACAGAUGAGGAGCUUGCUCCGCUGACGUUAGCGGCGGACGGGUGAGUAACACGUGGAUAACCUACCUAUAAGACUGGGAUAACUUCGGGAAACCGGAUCUAAUACCGGAUAAUAUAUUGAACCGCAGGGUUCAAUAGUGAAAGACGGUUUUGCUGUCACUUAUAGAUGGAUCCGCGCCGCAUUAGCUAGUUGGUAAGGUAACGGCUUACCAAGGCAACGAUGCGUAGCCGACCUGAGAGGGUGAUCGGCCACACUGGAACUGAGACACGGUCCAGACUCCUACGGGAGGCAGCAGUAGGGAAUCUUCCGCAAUGGGCGAAAGCCUGACGGAGCAACGCCGCGUGAGUGAUGAAGGUCUUCGGAGCGUAAAACUCUGUUAUGAGGGAAGAACAAAUGUGGAAGUAACUAUGCACGUCUUGACGGUACCUAAUCAGAAAGCCACGGCUAACUACGUG